rnacentral:rRNA from 1 species
AUGGCAGACACAACAAGGCUGGAUGUCUUUGAGCAAGAAAAGGACAAAUACUACAUUGUGACACAAGCUGAAAACUACCCCCAAAAGGAAAUCCAGAAAAGGUUGUACCUAGUGCAAGUUGGACUAAAAGAAGAAGAAUACUCUUGCAUCUGUUGCGCAUUCCAAAAAGAUGGCUUGCUGUGCUCGCACAUACUUCGAGUGAUGAUCCAUCUCAACAUCAGGAAGAUACCAGAAAAGUACAUCAUUGACAGAUGGAGGAAGAAUGACUACAAGCUUGAUAUUACAAAGACACCAGCUGUUGCAGCUGAGAACUCCACACUAAGGUACAAUGUGUUAGCAAGGAAAUUGGUGCAUGUGGCAUCAAUAGCUUCAAAGAAGAAGAGGAAGUAUGAGUAUCUGUUGGGAGAAUUAGACAGUAUACAGAAAAGGUUACGGGAAAUGGAUGAUGAAGAAGAAACAAUGGAUGAGGGGCAAAGUGCAACAACAAGAACAAUUACGUUUGUACCAACAGCAGGAGAGGGAGAAAGAACAACAUCAUCAUUCAUAAUUCAAGACCCGGAUGUAGCAAAGACAUAA